rnacentral:rRNA from 1 species
GACGAACGCUGGCGGUGUGCUUAACACAUGCAAGUCGAACGGAAAGGCCCUUUCGGGGGUCCACGAGCGGCGGACGGGGGCGUAACACGAACGUAACCUUCCCUCAUCUCUGGGAUAACAGUCGGAAACGGUUGCUAAUACUGGUAAUGAGCUUGCUAGUCAUCUUGUGGGUUGGAAAGAUUUUUUUGGUUGGGGGUGGACUCGCGGCCUAUCAGCUUGUUGGUGAGGUAGUGGGUCACCAAGGCUUCGACGGGUAGCCGGCCUGGGAGGGCGACCGGCCAUAUUGGGACUGAGGGGCGGCCCAAGCUCCUACGGGAGGCAGCAGUGGGGAAUAUUGCACGAUGGACGGAAGGCUGAUGCAGCAGGGCCGCGGGCGGGAUGACGGCCUUCGGGUUGUAAACCGCAUUCAAUUGUGACGAAGCAUUUUGUGACGGUAGCAGUAGAAGAAGCACCGGCUAACUACGUG